rnacentral:lncRNA from 1 species
AGGAGUGCUGCCAUUGAAACUGAAAUAAAUACAGUCUUUGUGAUUUUUUUCUAGGAAAAUGCUAAUGUUUUCGCCUUUGACUUAAAUGAAGUAUGCCUAGACACUGGAGCUCUAUUGAUUCACAAAGCAAGUUUUACAUACCAAGGUGAAGAAGCAACUAAGGAACAGCUGCUUAAAGAACAGUGAUGUCAAUUGAGGCAUGAAGGAAGAGGCUAUGCCAAAAACAAAAUACAUUCUUUUUACCACGUGUUCUUACGAAAACAAGAGAGCAGAGAACAGGGUAGAGAAAAUGCACUUCCAUUUCUGAAGGGUCAAAGGUGCAUUCAUGUGGCACUUCAGGAGGACAUUGCACAGCAGGGAAUACCAGCUGCUGGAAGGCAUGCCUUCAAGACUAUCUCAGGAUCUAUAAAGGCAUUUCAAGGGAUCUAUACAGCUGUGUUUUGA